rnacentral:rRNA from 1 species
GACGAACGCUGGCGGCGUGCUUAACACAUGCAAGUCGAACGGAAAGGCCCCUUUGGGGGUACUCGAGUGGCGAACGGGUGAGUAACACGUGAGUAACCUGCCCUUGACUUCGGGAUAACUUCAGGAAACUGGGGCUAAUACCGGAUAGGAAUCCUUGCUGCAUGGUGGGGGUUGGAAAGCUUCGGCGGUUUUGGAUGGACUCGCGGCUUAUCAGCUUGUUGGUGGGGUAGUGGCUUACCAAGGCUUUGACGGGUAGCCGGCCUGAGAGGGCGACCGGCCACAUUGGGACUGAGAUACGGCCCAGACUCCUACGGGAGGCAGCAGUGGGGAAUAUUGCACAAUGGGCGGAAGCCUGAUGCAGCAACGCCGCGUGCGGGAUGACGGCCUUCGGGUUGUAAACCGCUUUCAGCAGGGGCGAAGCUUGUGGUGACGGUACCUGCAGAAGAAGCACCGGCGAACUACG